CCUACGGGAGGCUGCAGUGAGGAAUAUUGGUCAAUGGGCGCGAGCCUGAACCAGCCAAGUCGCGUGAGGGAUGACGGUCCUACGGAUUGUAAACCUCUUUUGCCGGGGAGCAAGCGUGCGUUCGUGAACGCGCGUCGAGAGUACCCGGAGAAAAAGCAUCGGCUAACUCCGUGCCAGCAGCCGCGGUAAUACGGAGGAUGCGCAGGUUAUCCGGAUUUAGUGGGUUUAAAGGGUGCGUAGGCGGGAUGCCAAGUCAGCGGUAAAUAUGCGGUGCUCAACGCCGUGGAGCCGUUGAAACUGGCGUUCUGGAGUGGGCGAGAAGUAUGCGGAAUGCGUGGUGUAGCGGUGAAAUGCAUAGAUAGCACGCAGAACUCCGAUUGCGAAGGCAGCAUACCGGCGCCCUACUGACGCUGAGGCACGAAAGCGUGGGUAUCGAACAGGAUUAGAUACCCCAGUAGUC
rnacentral:rRNA from 1 species